AUUGAACGCUGGCGGCAGGCUUAACACAUGCAAGUCGAGCGAGCGGCGGACGGGUGAGUAAUGUCUGGGAAACUGCCUGAUAGAGGGGGAUAACUACUGGAAACGGUAGCUAAUACCGCAUACCAUCAGAUGUGCCCAGAUGGGAUUAGCUAGUAGGUGGGGUAAAGGCUCACCUAGGCGACGAUCCCUAGCUGGUUUGAGAGGAUGACCAGCCACACUGGAACUGAGACACGGCCCAUACUCCUACGUGAGGCAGCAGUGGGGAAUUUUGCACAAUGGGGGAAAGCCUGAUGCAGCCAUGCCGCGUGUGUGAUGAAGGCCUUCGGGUUGUAAAGCACUUUCGGCGGGGAGGCGUUACUCGCAGAAUAAGCACCGGCUAACUCCGUGCCAGCCGCCGCGGUAAUUC
rnacentral:rRNA from 1 species